CAUAGGGAGUAUGUCUGCUGUGUUAAUUAGACAGCUUCUGACGUGUCUGCAAGUGUCUUCUGGACCUAGAAUAAUGCCUCAUCAACUGUGCAUCUCAUCUGCCAUUCAUCCAAUAUCGCUUGGUGACAGCACAAGAUCUACCUAUGACACAAGAUGAUUGUCUUUUUGACAUAGAAAAAUACCAAAAAGAAACUUUCCGAGAUACUUAAUCGCGUUAAGGAAAAAAGGACACUAAAUGGAUGUGCAUCGGGGACUGGAGAAAUGGUUCCUUA